rnacentral:rRNA from 1 species
GACGUAGGGCGCGAGCGUUGUCCGGAUUUAUUGGGCGUAAAGAGCUCGUAGGCGGCUUGUCGCGUCGACUGUGAAAACCCGUGGCUCAACCAUGUGGUCUGCAGUCGAUACGGGCAGGCUAGAUGUGUGGAGGAGAGUGAAUUCCUGGUGUAGCGGUGAAAUGCGCAGAUAUCAGGAGGAACACCGGUAGCGGAAGGCGGCUCUGGGCGAUAUGACGUGAGGACGAAAGCGUGGGGAGCAACAGG